AGGCAAGGAAAGGUGGCCUCUGAUUCAAGCUACUGUAUGAAGAGGGGUCUGCGUACCAUUAGCUAGUAGGUGGGGUAAUGGCCUACCUAGGCGACGAUGGUUAGCGGGUCUGAGAGGAUGAUCCGCCACACUGGCACUGGAAUACGGGCCAGACUCCUACGGGAGGCAGCAGUGAGGAAUAUUGCGCAAUGGGGGCAACCCUGACGCAGCGACGCCGCGUGAGUGAGGAAGGUCUUCGGAUCGUAAAGCUCUGUCAAGAGGGAAGAAGUGCAAGGCAGCGAAUACUGUUUUGUUUGACGGUACCUCUAAAGGAAGCACCGGCUAACUCC
rnacentral:rRNA from 1 species